GACUAGAUUCUGCACAGUGAACAGUUAAAGAGAAGUAAACCAAGCAAACUGAAAGAUAAUAGGACACAAUAAUUUUUAUACCGGUGAGGUACUUACAUCUAGUUUCCCUUGGGUCACAAGGGACUUCUUAGAUCUUUGAUAAUAGGUUACAAUGAUGAUGGUUUUGGUUCGCUCACCAUCAACAACAUUCAGUGAUAAUGCCUUUUGUAAUGUUGACACAACUUUCUUUUUGUGUUCUAUCUCUUCCUAUCUUUUAUGACACUUGUAGACUCAAGAAUACAAUGUUUGUACUAAGAACUAGAAAGGUUUAGAAUCAGUUUAUGUAGUUGCGCAUCCAAUCCUUGAGUAUGCCACUCUUCUUAUAGACCAGAUUUUAGAGCUGUUGUUGAUUUGUUUUUGAUAUUUGAUUCAUGACUCAUGCCUUUAAUUCCUUCAAGAAGGAUGGGCUGGAUUUAAUAAUCUAGUGUUCCAAGCCGAGAUCUAGAGAGUGCUUCCAUGCUCCAUGCUUUGUCGAAGAAAGGAGUAGAUGGGCUGGAUUAGUUUAUCCAGGGAGUGCUUUCCAUGCUCCAUGCUUUAUUGGGUAGAGGAACAAUACUUCAAGUUGUCUCCCAUUAUAUUAUGUUUCCCUUCCACUUUGAAUCUUCCUUCAUACAUGAUCUGCUAUUUGUAUUUGCAGGUGAGUUAUAUAUAAGGCAAUGGUUCAAAAUACAUAGCCAUUGAGCAGAUCUUCAUUCCUUUUUGGCAAUGCUUGCUUCACCUGAAUCUGCAUACACUAAUAUAACAUUAGUCAAGACUUCUUUAUGGAUAUUUGAUCAUUAUUAAAAUUCUACACUUAACCGUCAUUAGUUUAUCAUUCAUCAGAUGAAGUCAUAAAUUCCUAAUAUAUAGAGGAAAGAAAAUCCCUUGCAAAGGGAGCACUGUUGCAGGCUAAAAACCUUGACUUAAACUGGUGUUUCCGUUGAUGUUUUGAUGUAGAAACUAUAAGCUGAGCACACAAAUGAUAGAAAGGCAUGUAGGAGAGAUAUCUGGUUUGAGUUUGAGAUAAAUGAGGCAACUGCAGUAACUAGUAGCUGAGAUAAGAAUUUAGUUUGAGAAUGUUCAAAUGAAUAACUAGCUAGCUAGUUUCUUGCCACCUAUAACCAAGAUCCUGGAGCAUCUGUUAAGAAGUCAAAGGAGAAAAGCUCCUGGCCUCUGAUACUUUUGCAGCUGUGGCUACUCGUUGCUGCAUUGCUUGACAAUCGAUAAUUGGCUUACUUUUCUAAGAUGCUUCUUACAUCAAGCAACCCAAUCAUUAAACAUAAUGACCAUAAAUAUCUAAAUAACUUGUCCCUAUACGGUUAUCUGUGGGCACUACAAAUGCUAGCUAAACUGAUUUUCUGGCUUUCUACGAUUCUUGUUUUACCACUACAAGUGAUCUUGUUUAGAACCCUUUAUUCUGAUGAGAUAUAAGAGAGCAUCAACUCACUUGUCAAACCAAGAUCUUGCUAAAAGUAGUGGAGAACCCCAGCUAAAACAGUUUUAAGCAUUAUUUUGGCUAUAAUGAACACAUCCAGAGAGGGACAGCGCAUCUGCAAUCAUUCUUCUUUCUCUUAUGGUCACUAUCAUCAAUAUUGUUAUUAAAGGAUGAGUUGUUUCCUUUUUGAAAUAACUCGCUUGUAUAGAUAAGAAAAAUAUAUCUUAAUUAAGCACUAUUAGGGAAAAAAGCACAAGCUAAAACUUACCUUCUGACAGCACAAUAGGAAUAUGCAAAAUUCAAAAGCAACGGCUAUUUUUAUCAUUACCAUUAUGAUGUAGAUUCUGGCAAGUAUUAUUGAGGAAUAUUGGCCCCCUUUAUAGAAUGGUCACGCAUAUAGAAUAAAGGAUGAAACUUUGUCUGAGGUUCAUCUUGUCUGGUUAAAAAUGGUGAUUAGGAUUCCUCCUUAUCAAAUCCUAUGUCAACACUCGAGCUUCUGCGCUUAGGUGGAAUCAGCUACAGUUUCCAUGUCAGCAUUCACGGUCCCAAUAACUGGUCAAGCGACUUCAACUCAUUGUCAAUCUCGGAUUACUCUUGAUUUGCUUCACUAUGAAAACCAUGUUAUGUGUUUGUAUGAGAGGCCUGGAUUUUUUUCUGUGACUCAUCAAUGACCAUAGAUUGUGUAAUAUUCACUCAUUUCUUGCCACUUAUAACUGUGCGGAGAGUUUGUCAAUUCUUGGAUCUUUGCUUGAAAACUCUUACCAAUGCAUAAUAAACUAUCCCUUUAGUAAGGGAGUUCAGAUAUUAGCAUUCUCCUUUUAUGGCUUUUGAACCAAGGAAAAGUUAUAGUAUAACCUUACAAUCCUUUUCCUUUUAUGAAAAGAGAGAGAUCACUAAACUGAUUAUUGUCAAAGAUGGUUAACCUUAUAACUUAUCAUAAAAACAAUUACAGGGCUUCAAAGUCAUAAAGUUCAAAUCUUGUGCCAUGCAUCACAUUCAGAAUCUUCAGAGAAUUGAUGAAAAACAAAGGUAAACGUCGUGUGAUUGUAUACCUUAAUACAUUGUCUCAGGUACCAGUCAAGAAAGAGGUAUUUCUCUUAAAAUUGAUAUAUUAAAUACUGUCAGGAAUAACGCAACUCUCAUGUUUUGUUCCGAAUUAAUGUAUCACCUGUCUGUACCGAUAAAAGCUGUUAACAUUCUUAGCAAUCUAUUUGGUGAAACUAAGGACUGGUCUGAUAAUAUCUAGAGUGCUCUGAUUUCUAACACAUGCAUGACUAAACAGGAGAUGAAAAGAAGUCCACUUUUGAAUUAUUAAGAAGAAUAUUACACAAUAAGAAUAAUAGGACUUGAAUUUGCAUUAUGAGGGAAUUGAUUCCUUGGUGGUAAACUUUGUCACAGUUUUUGCCCCUUUAGAACCUGAACCAUUUUCCACCUGAACGACGUUAGCCUUCGUGUCAGGCAGUUGCUUGCAUUGGCAAUGUGGAUUACACACACUAAUCUAAUGUGUAAGCGUGAGAAUCCAAAUCAUCUCAAGGGUCCAUCUAUCUUAGCAAGAUCACGCGGUAAAAUAACCCCACCUUUCACAUAACAUCUUCCCCUCAUAACACCUACUAGAAAUGGAUACAGAACAAAGAAUAAUAUUUUGAGGAGCUCCUUUUUAGUAGAAUAAUGGACAGUCGAACAGGUAAGGAGGGGCAUUAUUGGACUUCUGCAAGAAAAUAUGCUUCACAUGCAUGAAUAUGACAGUCGACAACUUUAGAGAGCCAUACCUCUACAGUCAAUAAGGAAGGAAAGUAGUUGGUUUAUCCAACUCUUUUUUGGAAAAUUUGCGCUAUCUUGUGGAAUCUCAUUUAAGGAAACUGUUUGAAGUCACAAAACAGAUCAAAAAGUAAACUUUGGGCCCCAAACAAUGAGGUCUUCCAACUAUAUAUACCUCCCCAAACCAUUCAUCAAAAUUACCACUUACAGCAAACCAUUUCUUGAGCUUCAAGUUUACGUCUAGUUGAGAAGUUCAAGUCUUCAAAUUAUCAAGGUGAGGCAUCGAUGAUUUAGUUUCCUUUUGUGGUUCAUUUCAUUAUUCUUCCAGCUUCUACACAAAAAAGGAAGAAAAAUACAAUAACUUUAGUCUUGAGUCCAAGUUUUUCAAACAAACUAGGCCCUUAAAUACAAGAUUAAUGUGCUGCGAAAUUUUUUCCUAGAAUGAAAUAACUGUUCAUGUGUAAGCAAUGCAGUUCUAGCAUAUAGAACUGAGACCUUGUUGACUAUAACCAUGUAUAGAAUGAGGCCUCAAAGAUGGAUAACCAAUAAGAUUUAAUGGCCUAUUUUACUUCCCAUAUGAAAAUUUGUUCUCAUCAUAUUUUCAAGUUCAAUUUCAGGUAGACAUAAAAUGAGCAGUGGAGAUUGGAUGUGUGCUGCAUGCCAACACAUAAAUUUCAAGAAACGGGAUGCAUGCCAACGAUGCAGCUGUCCUAAAUAUGCAACGCCGGCUGAUGUUGCCAUGUAUGGACUAAACAAAGCAGAAGUCUUAGCUGGAGACUGGUAUUGCAGUGCGAUGAACUGUGGUUCUCACAACUAUGCGAGUCGAACAAACUGCUAUAGAUGUGGUGCCUUAAGAAGUGAUUAUUACGCUGUUGGGGCAGGAGUGAUGGCAUCAGCAGGUUAUGGAUAUGAUGCAAGUGCUAUUCCUGGUUGGAAGAGUGGUGAUUGGAUUUGCAGCAGGUCAGUUCAUAUUUACACAUUUCAUUUCCCAUGCAGUUCACUUACUCUAUAACAAUAACUACGCCUCAAUCCCGAGCAAGAUAGGCUUAACUGUAUGAAUCCUAAAGGUUAAUGUCUCUCCUUUUAAUCUCAUCUCUGUCCAAUACUGCAACAACACCAUCACUACUGUCCAAUAUCGCUCUAGUUAAACUCAUCUCAAACCAACAAUAUACAAAAUAAAAUUAAAAAAUACUAGAAGUUUACUAUAUUUUCUACUGGCAUAUAAAUCUCUGAUAAGACUAGGACUCCUAGAAAACAUUGUAUUAUGAGGAAUCAUCACAAGAUUGACUAGUUUUACGCUAACUGUUAGCCUGCCGCAAUUCUCCUCCUUUUACUACUGAUAUGUGCAGGUGACAUACUAUAGUUGGGAUUUUAACUAACAUAACUUCCUUGAUCGACAGAAUUGGAUGUGGUAUGCACAACUAUGCAAGCAGAGAAGAAUGUUAUAAAUGCAAGACACCUAGGGAUUUUUGUGAGACAUCUUCCAUGCGAUUCUGAUACUUCCUAUCAAUAUUUUACUUUCCAACACCAUUGUUUAUUUACUAACAUCUGUUAAUUUCUCUGUUUUUUAGGAGGUGAUCUGAGAGAAAGUGGAUUAUAUUGAGGGAUGCGGCGACAUUAAGUUAUUACUGAAGAUUUACCAGAAAUCAUAACCUUCAAUGACCUUUCUUCUUUUCCUUUUAGUUUUUCUUUUCUUGUUUAGUAGUUUCCUUGUAGUUGCUCAAAGAAGGGUUUGUAAGUCUAACUGCAUUGUAACUUUACAAAGUGUUCAAUGAAUGAAAUCCCUUCAGAUUUCGCAUUCUUUCUGUCUUUCAAGUUUCAACAACUGCAUUUGUAGGGGUGGUCCAAUAAAAUAAUUUUAUGUAUCCAAUGGAAGGAAUUGCUAGCGUAGGCUCGGGCCUUAUAUGUGUAAGAAAAGAAUAAAAGAAAGUAUAUAUAUAAAGAACCAGACCUACUGACUCUAAAUCCUAAAUACAGUGCUGUGGACUGUGGCUAGUGGCUUAGGUGAGUCUUCCCAACUUACUUUAAACAACACUUGUCACACCUCCUUUUUCUCGAUAGGGAUAGGGGAUAGGGGAUAAGGGAGUUUUUUUCAAUUUAAGUGACAUUAUUCGAAUUGAGAUUAUUUUUAUUUUUUUCAAAGUCGUCACUUGGAAUAUUUAGGGUGUUCCAAGUCACCGGUUUAUUUUAAAUCCCAAAUCGAGAAAAUUUGACUCGGUUUAUGUUCCGCAAACACAGAAGACCAGGUAAGGAAUUUUGUUAAUCCGAGAAAAGGUGCCAGACACUCGCGAAUUUCAUGAUUUUAGCACGGUCGCUUUAAUCAUACCUGGUUUAAUUAGAUUGUUUUAUCACGUAUUUUAAAACCUAAGUGCAUUUUACCUUUUACCGCUUUUAAUUAUGGCGUUUAUGGAUUUAAUCUUUGAAACAGACUACAUGUGUGUAAGUCUGCUUCGUUUGGGGCACUAAAAUCAUGUCACGCGAACGUGUACACAAUUAAUUGUGCUUUAUUAAUUUAAGAUUGUUUGGUCGAAGUUGCGCGAACGCAUACCUCGAUUUAAUUUUGGAUAUCGGGAUCACGUCACGCGGACAUGUACGCAUUCACGAUAGUAGUUUAAAAUCCGUGCCUAAAGCAUUUCUACGAGUGUUUAAUUAAGUCAUUUUAUUUACUAAGAUUGUUUGACCAUGAUCACACGAACAUGUACCUUGGUUUGUUUUUGGCAUCACAACUAUGUCACGCGUGCGUGUACAUGAUUGUAAUAAUUAAGUUGAUUAUAAAUACCUUGAGUUAUGCUUAUGUCUCUAAACUAAAUAUUCUAUGUCAUAUGGCUAAGUGUAAAGGUUUAAUACUAGGUGAUAUGUUUGUUUGUAUUAGAUGGGGGCAGCCUAUGUAUUAUCUGUCAAACAGGCCCAGAUUUAAAGUUUGAGGCCCGAUGAGGAUUGAGUCCAAAUGAACUUUAGCCCAAGACAUAUAUUUUCGUUAUUGGGCUUAGCUAAUGGAUUCAGUUCAAAAGGAUUUGGGCUUGUUUGAGUCUAAUUGACUGCCCAAUGCAUAUUUUAAGGCAGCUAAAUGAAUUCAAUCCAAACGAUUUGGGCCUAGUGAUCAUGGAGUCCAAAUGACUCUGGCCCAAUACCAUGUUGUUAAGCAAUCAAUCAAUUAAACACAUUUAAUUCAGAAAGAUCUAGGGCUAAUGAUGAGUCCAAAUGACUGUGACUUAAUGUUCAAUUUUAUAGACAACUAAAUGAAAUUAACUAAAGGCAUUUGGGCUUGGUGAUAAUGAGCCCAUGUGACUUUGGCACAACUCAAUGUUAUUAAGCAUUCAGUCAAUUAAACACAUUUAAUUCAGAAAGAUCUGGGCCUGAUGAUGAGUCCAAAUGACUCUGGCCCAAUGUUCAUUUUUAUGGACAACUAAAUAAAAUUAACUAAAGAUAUUUGGGCCUGGUGAUAAUGAGUCCAUGUGACUCUGGCCCAGUGCAUAAUUGUGUGAAUGAGUUUGAAAUUAAAAUUUAUAACAACAAUUAUCAGAUUUUACUUAUAUUUUGUUUAUCUUUUAAAACAGAAAACUAAAAAGGGUCUGGGGACACGAACCAAAAUUAAAAUUGGAUAAUUUCCUAUUAAUUGCUUAAAUCUCCUAUUUCUUAUAUUAACUUAUGUUAAAGUGAUAAGUUUUAAAACUCAUUUGCAUUUGAAAAUCUUAAAGUGUAAAGGCCUUUAAUCAACUCAUUUUUAUUAGCCAAAGACCCAGAAUACAAUCUUAUGGACCCAAUUGAUUUGGGCCUGAAUUCGUACCUUGAUUACUGUUAGGUUGCUUGUAAAAUCCAGCUUUUUAUGAUUUUAAACUAAUAGCAUUGGAAUUAGUAUAUUUUAAUUGUUUAAUAACAUAGUAAAGCUACUAACUAACGCAUUGCAUGAGAGGAUAUAAUAUAAAACAAAAUUAAAUUAUUACAUCUCACUAACAUGGACAGUGAUAACAAAUCUGUCUACUACUAAUCUAACAAAUUUUCUAGAAAAAAGAAAGAUUUUCUCUUUUUAACUAUUCGAACGUACCAAUCUUAUGACUAUAUGAAGCUUUAAACAGAUUUUAUAAUUUUUUCAGAACCCUUUAAAAUGAAGCUAAUAUAACUUAAAUUGCCUAAAACAGUGUAAAUAAUUAACUCUACAUGCUUUCAUACACAACUCUCAACCAAACAACUUCAAACAAUAUGAUUCAUGCAGUGCUCAGAUGAAGUAGAAAUUCUUGAUAACCAGCAAAAAUAAAACUUUACAUUGUUAAAAGAAAAUACCUUGAUAGCAGCAAGCAAACUACAGAUAAGAAAAUAAGUAUCUGAAAGCUUGAAGUAAAACAGCAGCAAUAAAACCCAAUAGAAUAAGAAGACGACCAGAUUUUUAAAAAUAGGAAAGGAAUGUAUAUUUUUGAUUCUCAAAGAUCAAGGUUGAUUUUCAAAAGUUUUUCUUUUGAAAGAGAGCAAAAUCUUAAGGCAGUCUAUAUGUGUCCAUAAUGUGUCUUCAUAUCCUUUUCUAAUGAAGAAAGAGGAGUGUAUUAUAUAGAGUGAGAGAGUGAAAAG
rnacentral:lncRNA from 1 species